rnacentral:rRNA from 1 species
UACGAAGGGGGCGAGCGUUGUUCGGAAUUACUGGGCGUAAAGGGCGCGUAGGCGGCGAUCCGAGUCAGAUGUGAAAGUCCUGGGCUUAACCUGGGGACUGCAUUUGAUACUGGAUUGCUUGAAUUCGGGAGAGGAUAGUGGAAUUCCCAGUGUAGAGGUGAAAUUCGUAGAUAUUAGGAAGAACACCGGUGGCGAAGGCGGCCCACUGGCUCGAUACUGACGCUGAGGUGCGAAAGCGUGGGGAGCAAACAGG